CAUGCUUCAUAAUCCAGUAGCUAUGACCUUAUCCAGCAACUGGCGCAGGCAUAUUUUUGGAUCUUUCAGAAGGCUGUCAGUUGUUCCAUUCCUAUUGCGACAGCAGACUUAUCAUUGCUCCCAACCCUCUUACGACCCAACAAAUACAAAAGAAGAGCUUGAUGGGAGCUACCACUCACAAGAGCAAAGCCUCAUCUCCCUCUUCCAAUCGUGCUCCACCAUGAGGGAUCUCUCCCAGAUACAUUCCCAGAUCAUUCGAACCGGCUUCGACCAGCAUGUGUUUGUUGUGGGCAGAGCCAUCACGUUCUGCUGCGUCUCUGAGCAUGGAUCCAUGGACUACGCAUUGGCCGUCUUCGAACAGCUCCAAUGGCCGGAUGGAUUCAUCUGGAACACUAUGAUUAGAGGAUUUGGGAGGACCAGCAGAGCAGAGGAAGCUUUCCUUUUCUUCCAGAGGAUGCGACAGAAGGGGAAGGUGGCGGAUAAUUUCACGUUCUCGUUCCUGCUCAAAAUUUGCGGGCAGCUGACGGCUGUUGAUUUGGGCAGGCAAAUUCACUGCUGUGUACUGAAGCAUGGCCUGGAUUCCCAUGUCUACGUGACCAACACCCUUAUCCACAUGUAUGGCCUGUUUGAAGACAUGAACCCUGCUCGCAGGGUAUUCGAAGAAAUGCCCAAUAUAGAUGUAGUGUCAUGGAACACUCUUAUUGAUGGCUAUGUGAACUGCGGCCAAUACAAAGAGGCUUUGAGGAUGCUCCUGAUAAUGAAGAGGAGUGGUUUCGGUCCAGACGAGGCCACCUUGGUUCUAGUUCUGUCAGCAUGCUCGGAGCUGGGAGCAUUGGAUUUUGGCAAAUGGGUUCAUUCAGGCAUCAGUAGUUCCAUCCUCAAUCAGAGUAUCUCGGUGCUGAAUUCUCUGAUCGAUAUGUACGCCAAGUGUGGGGCAAUUGACAGAGCUCUUCGAGUAUUCGAUUAUAUGAAAGAGAGGAAUAUAGUUUCAUGGAACUCCAUGAUACUAGGACUUGCAAUGCAUGGGCAUGCGGAUGAAGCGCUGAGGCUCUUUGAUAGGAUGCAAAAGACUGAAAUCGAAGAGCCAAAUGACAUUACUUUCCUCGGAGUGCUCUGCGCCUGCAGCCAUGGAGGUCUCGUAGAAGAAGGGCAAAGGUUCUUCGAUAGCAUGGGGAGAGACUAUGGUAUCACUCCUACUAUAAAGCACUAUGGAUGCAUGGUUGAUCUUCUUGGGCGAGCAGGGCUUGUGAAGGAGGCUUAUGAACUAUUAAGGAGCAUGCCGAUGGAAGGCAAUGCAGUGGUGUGGAGGACAUUGUUGGGGGCAUGCCGGAUUCAUGGGGACCUUGAAUUGGGUGAACGAGUUAGAAAGCAUUUGGAAGAGUUGGAACCUGACCAUAGCAGUGAUUAUGUUCUCCUGUCCCACAUGUAUGCAGGUGCUGGCCGAUGGAAUGAUGUGUUGAAGGUCAGAGAAUCAAUGAAAGGAAGAGGAGUUCAGAAACCAGAACCGGGUAACAGCUUGUCAACAUGCUUUCCAGGGAACUAGUAAUCUUGUUCACCAGGCUGAAAGAAGGAAAGCCGCCUCAGAGCCUGCAAAUAUUUUCAAAGAAAUGCAUGAUAUCACCAGAGCAAGCCGCUUCAUUUGUCCCCUCUCGAGGAAGCAAAGAAAAUGACAUGUUUCUUUGUUGACUGGAAAGAUAAGGAAACAUCAGCAGAAGCAGGCAUGGAACUAUCUGCCAGGACAUGCAUCACUCAAUAAGAUGAUUUUCCACUGAGUAAGUAUGAUGACAAAUAGCCCCUUAUAUUUGUUUCAUUCAGCCUGUGGUUAUGCUUGAACAAUGAAGAGGGUAUAAUUUGCAUAAAGCUUGUAGUGCAGAAAGUACUGAACUAUAGGCAAACAUUGGGAUGCCUUUUCACCAACUUUAA